rnacentral:rRNA from 1 species
CCUACGGGAGGCAGCAGUGAGGGAUAUUGGUCAAUGGGGGAAACCCUGAACCAGCAACGCCGCGUGAGGGAAGACGGUUUUCGGAUUGUAAACCUCUGUCCUCUGUGAAGAUAAUGACGGUAGCAGAGGAGGAAGCUCCGGCAAACUACGUGCCAGCAGCCGCGGUAAUACGGGGGAUGCGAGCGUUAUCCGGAUUUAUUGGGUUUAAAGGGUGCGCAGGCGGAGGCACAAGUCAGCGGUAAAAUCGCGGGGCUCAACCCCGCUCCGCCGUUGAAACCGUGUCCCUUGAGUGCGCGAAGGGUAGGCGGAAUGCGUGGUGUAGCGGUGAAAUGCAUAGAUAUCACGCAGAACUCCGAUCGCGAAGGCAGCCUACCGGCGCGCAACUGACGCUCAUGCACGAAAGCGUGGGUAUCGAACAGGAUUAGAUACCCUUGUAGUC